CACGUAGGGGGCGAGCGUUGUCCGGAUUUAUUGGGCGUAAAGAGCGUGUAGGCGGCCAGGUAGGUCUGCUGUGAAAACUCGAGGCUUAACCUCGAGCUGUCGGCGGAAACCAUCUGGCUAGAGUCCGGAAGAGGAGAAUGGAAUUCCCGGUGUAGCGGUGAAAUGCGCAGAUAUCGGGAAGAACACCCGUGGCGAAGGCGGUUCUCUGGGACGGUACUGACGCUGAGACGCGAAAGCGUGGGGAGCGAACAGG
rnacentral:rRNA from 1 species